rnacentral:rRNA from 1 species
CCUACGGGAGGCAGCAGUCGAGAAUCAUUCACAAUGGGGGAAACCCUGAUGGUGCGACGCCGCGUGGGGGAAUGAAGGUCUUCGGAUUGUAAACCCAUGUCAUGUGGGAGCAAAUUAAAAAGAUAGUACCACAAGAGGAAGAGAGGGCUAACCCUGUGCCAGCAGCCGCGGUAAUACAGAGGUCUCAAGCGUUGUUCGGAAUCACUGGGCGUAAAGCGUGCGUAGGCUGUUUCGUAAGUCGUGUGUGAAAGGCGCGGGCUCAACCGGCGGACGGCACAUGAUACUGGGAGACUAGAGUGAAGAAGGGGGGACCGGAAUUCUCGGUGUAGCAGUGAAAUGCGUAGAUAUCGAGAGGAACACUCGUGGCGAAGGCGGGUUCCUGGACAUUAACUGACGCUGAGGCACGAAGGCGAGGGGAGCGAAAGGGAUUAGAUACCCUAGUAGUC